rnacentral:rRNA from 1 species
GACAGCAGCAGCCACGGUAAGACGGAGGGUGCUAGCGUUGUUCGGAAUCACUGGGCGUAAAGGGCGCGUAGGCGGCCUGUUAAGUCGGAUGUGAAAGCCCGGGGCUCAACCCCGGAACUGCAUCCGAGACUGGCAGGCUUGAGACCGGGAGAGGAGGGUGGAAUAUCCAGUGUAGAGGUGAAAUUCGUAGAUAUUGGAUGGAACACCGGUGGCGAAAGCGGCUCUCUGGCCCGGAUCUGACGCUGAGGCGCGAAAGCGUGGGGAGCAAACAGGAUUAGAUACCCCGGUAGUCCCUGUCUCUUAUAA